UACUAUUUAGCACCUAAAGAAUUUGAAUUUUUAAAACUGCAAUGUAAGCACAGUAUUUGACGGUUCUAUUUGACUCUCAGAUAUGAAGUGCAGGCAUCAAAUUUACUUUUCAGCACCUAAAGAAUUUGAAUUUUUAAAACUGCAAUGUAAGCACAGUAUUUGACGGUUCUAUUUGACUCUCAGAUAUGAAGUGCACCGCAG